UACGGAGGGUGCAAGCGUUAUCCGGAUUCACUGGGUUUAAAGGGUGCGUAGGUGGGUUGGUAAGUCAGUGGUGAAAUCUCCGUGCUUAACAUGGAAAUUGCCAUUGAUACUACUGGUCUUGAAUUUUCUGGAGGUAAGCGGAAUGUGUCAUGUAGCGGUGAAAUGCUUAGAUAUGACAUAGAACACCGAUUGCGAAGGCAGCUUACUACAGGGACAUUGACACUGAGGCACGAAAGCGUGGGGGAUCAAACAGG
rnacentral:rRNA from 1 species